GUUGCUGGAUGACUUCUCUGGUGAUGCACAGCCAGGCCUGUAUUGCAGCAAACUUUAGCUAAUGCUUGUUUCGGGGGUGAGUCCCCUUCACUUAUCUCUUCAGCAUGUAAAAGGCAUGCACAAUUGGGUUCAGAUCGGGUGAUUGACUUGGCCACUCAAGAAUUAACGAUUUUUUAGCUUU